AAAUAUUAAAAGCUGCCCCAUCUAACGAUUAGGUUUCGUGAGACGCGUGGGACGUAUUGUGUCUGUGUGAAUAGACUUGUACCCAGACGUACCGUUCGAACAAAAAAUUUAUGAAUGAUUAGAUGUUGUCAUCAAGGUCCACCGUGUGGCAACGGCAAGCUAUUGAUCUCCAGGACCCCAAUACAUAAACGAGAUUACGAAAUUGCAAAAGUGUUGAAAAUGAUGGACCGUUUGUCAUACCUACAAUAACAAUGGUCUGCCCCUCUUCUUUUAUUGCCUACCAAGCUAACAUACCAUUAAAUUGAUAUCUCAAACAGUG